rnacentral:rRNA from 1 species
AACGAACGCUGGCGGCAUGCCUAACACAUGCAAGUCGAACGAAGGCUUCGGCCUUAGUGGCGCACGGGUGCGUAACGCGUGGGAACCUGCCCCUCGGUUCGGAAUAACAGUUGGAAAUAGACUGCUAAUAACCGGAUGAUGACUUCGGUCCAAAGAUUUAUCGCCGAGGGAUGGGCCCGCGUAGGAUUAGCUAGUUGGUGGGGUAAAGGCCUACCAAGGCGACGAUCCUUAGCUGGUCUGAGAGGAUGAUCAGCCACACUGGGACGUGAGACACGGCCCAGACUCCUACGGGAGGCAGCAGUGGGGAAUAUUGGACAAUGGGCGAAAGCCUGAUCCAGCAAUGCCGCGUGAGUGAUGAAGGCCUUAGGGUUGUAAAGCUCUUUUACCAGGGAUGAUAAUGACAGUACCUGGAGAAUAAGCUCCGGCUAACUCCGUG